CCAAGGCUAAAUACUCCUGACUGACCGAUAGUGAACCAGUACCGUGAGGGAAAGGCGAAAAGAACCCCGGCGAGGGGAGUGAAAAAGAACCUGAAACCGUGUACGUACAAGCAGUGGGAGCCCCACCACUAAGCCAGUGGUGAACUCCACAUACGCAUCCUUUGCUGAGGAUACGGUUAACGGAGCGAAAGCGACGUUCAACCUCAAAAGAAGCAGAGGGGGCUUAGUGGUGGGGUGACUGCGUACCUUUUGUAUAAUGGGUCAGCGACUUAUAUUCUGUAGCAAGGUUAACCGAAUAGGGGAGCCGGAGGGAAACCGAGUCUUAACCGGGCGUUAAGUUGCAGGGUAUAGACCCGAAACCCGGUGAUCUAGCCAUGGGCAGGUUGAAGGUUGGGUAACACUAACUGGAGGACCGAACCGACUAAUGUUGAAAAAUUAGCGGAUGACCU
rnacentral:rRNA from 1 species